ACUUGUAAUAACACGUGUAUUAUUAAUACUCAAGAUAAUAAUAUUCUUGAUCCUUGUGAUGAUGCUUCAUCUUUUGUGAGCACUUCUUCUGUAGAGUUAUCAUUUCGAGAAAGAUUGGCAUCCUGUUUCGUACAAACAUUUCCUGGUAGAAAUUUUGGCCGGGUACUUGCACAGCAUUGACCAGCGUGCCACACUGCCACUUCAGCUAGCAUGACACGCUGGUAAGCGCCAUCCGUGAAAUCGUCACAUUUGCCCGCUAGCGCCAAUUUAGAAAUUGAUUUGAUGUGGUGCUGGCAUGGCGCUAACAUGGCGCCAGUAAGGUACUAUCAUAAUGCUGAUAUGGGACUAGCGAAGUUUCAACGUGGCACAUACAUGACACUGUCCUAUGAAUUAAUAAUAUUAUUGAACUAUUCGAUUAUUAAUGAAAAACCUACACUGUUAGAAAUUUCUCAAUGACUUUUAAUGAUCAUGUAAAGGAAGCUUGGUUCAAGCUCGUAAAUGAAAAUCGGCCUAACUCCAGAAAAGAAAACUGAUUUUGGUUUAUUUUGAUCGCGCUGCGAGUGGUCUUUGGCUGGGAGAAAACGAACACAGCGGGUGAUUACGAUAAUGGCUAUUCGAGUAAUUUUCUCUAGGACCGAAAUAUAUGAUAAGCACAGCCAUCUACUACCAUCAUGAUUUGUGACAACUCAAUGUUGUCUGGUAUAGCCAAAUCAACAUCACGAGCAAGUUACGAGUUGCGAGUUCCGUGAGUUUGUAGCAGGAAAUUGUGAUUCAAAUAAUUCUACAAUAAAAACUGCAAUCGCUCAUUUAAAAUAUAAUACUGAGUCUUGGCCUGAACUUUUACGCAGUUGAUCGGUGACAUUCUUUGCGGUUUCAGUAUCUCAAAGAAACUAGACCAAUAGAAACGCAAAAAGGGAAGUCUUCUGUUCAACAAUUGCAAGAGUCUGCUGUUUUAGUAAGCGAUUAUUUAAAAAAUUGGCCCGUGUUUGCACAGCCUAAUGGAUAUUUACUGAUUCAACAAGAUUUUAAAGAUUUAUAUCCUGGAGGAGAAGAUGGUUUAAUAUCCAAAUGGGAUUCAAGUAAAGAAAUUUUGCUUUUUUAAAUGCUGAAAUUACAAAAUUAGAUGAAUAUGCUAGGAAAUUACUUGCAGAUUUAACUGUUACAAAUCCCGAUCAAAAUGAUGUAAUUCUAUUUUACUUACUACCAUCACUUAUUUGCAAAAAAACAAGAGGUGCGAGCGUAGGUACACCAUCUGUAGCAGAAGCUAAAAAAGCUUUUAUUCUUCAUGUCUCUAUUCCGGGAGAUUUGAAUCGUCAAAUAAAAGCACACUGCGAAUAUCUAGCAAAAAAAUGGUCUAAAUUUACAACCAAUGUUAAUAUUUGUUGGGCUUACUUUAGCAAAUAUUACUGCUAGUUACAUUCAAAUAAAUAUUGUAAGAUAUCAACCCCGUACUCCAUUAAAUGCUCUGGACACAUGUUUCAAGGUGUUUUAUGCACUGAAUGUUGCAUAUCCAAAGGAGUGUCAAACAGUUUGGCUUUUUAUCCAAAAAUAUUUUUACAACAUAUACCUUAAAGAAGAUUAUAACAUUCUUCAAGUGACCAGUAUACUGAGUUCCUUCCUGAAAGGAUUCGUUUCCAAGAAAAUUUAGUGCACUGACAAUAUUAACACUUACGAGGAGUACAUUUUUUUUACAUUCAAAUAAAAUUCGAAAACCUGAA